ensembl:misc_RNA Metazoa_SRP Metazoan signal recognition particle RNA
GCCAGGUGUGGUGGCUCACGCCUGUAAUCCCAGCACUUUGGGAGGCUGAGGCAGGUGGAUCACCUGAGGUCAGGAGUUCAAGAUCAGCCUGGCCAACAUGGUGAAACCCUGUCUCUA